AAAGUUUUAAGUUAAAUAAACUAAUAAUCUUCAAAAUUAUAAAUAAAAUAAUUAAUUUUAAGCUUUA
rnacentral:tRNA from 1 species